GACGAACGCUGGCGGCGUGCUUAACACAUGCAAGUCGAACGAAAAGAGGGAAAGAGCUUGCUCUUUCCGGAAUUGAGUGGCAAACGGGUGAGUAACACGUAAACAACCUGCCUUCAGGAUGGGGACAACAGACGGAAACGACUGCUAAUACCGAAUAAGUUCCAAGGGCCGCAUGGCCCAUGGAAGAAAAGGUGGCCUCUACCUGUAAGCUAUCGCCUGAAGAGGGGUUUGCGUCUGAUUAGCUGGUUGGAGGGGUAACGGCCCACCAAGGCGACGAUCAGUAGCCGGCCGGGGAGGAUGACCGACCACACUGGAACGGGGACACGGUCCGACCUCCUAGGGGGGGCACCGGUGGGAAUCUUCCGCAAUGGGCGAAAGCCUGACGGAGCAACGCCGCGUGAGUGAUGACGGCCUUCGGGUUGUAAAACUCUGUGAUCCGGGACGAAAAGGCAGAGUGCGAAGAACAAACUGCAUUGACGGUACCGGAAAAGCAAGCCACGGCUAACUACGUG
rnacentral:rRNA from 1 species